GAUGAACGCUGGCGGCGUGCCUAAUACAUGCAAGUCGAGCGCGAAGAUCAGGAGCUUGCUCCUGAGAUUUGAGCGGCGGACGGGUGAGUAACACGUAGGCACCCUACCCUUGAGAUUGGGAUCACUACCGGAAACGGUAGCUAAUACCUGAUACGACUUUUCCACAUAAGUGGCACUGUUAAAAGGCGGAUUAUCUGCCGAUCAUGUAUGGGCCUGCUGUGCAUUAGCUAGUUGGUGAGAUAGUAGCUCACCAAGGGGACGAUGCAUAGCCGACCUGAGAGGGUGAUCGGCCACACUGGGACUGAGACACGGCCCAGACUCCUACGGGAGGCAGCAGUAGGGAAUCUUCCGCAAUGGACGAAAGUCUGACGGAGCAACGCCGCGUGGGUGAUGAAGGGUUUCGGCUCGUAAAACUCUGUUGUUAAGGAAGAACACUUGAGGUAGUAACUGGCCUUGAGAUGACGGUACUUAACCAGAAAGCCACGGCUAACUACGUGCCAGCCGCCGCAGUAA
rnacentral:rRNA from 1 species